rnacentral:ncRNA from 1 species
GUGCUAUACUAAUAAAGUUGACUUGAUCAACCCUUGGUGCUUAGCUUCUUUCACCAAGCAUAUUAUACGCGGGAUAGCCGCUAAAGGAGAAAAUAUG